rnacentral:rRNA from 1 species
GAUGAACGCUGGCGGCGUGCUUAACACAUGCAAGUCGAACGAAGCUGCCCAAAGGAAGUUUUCGGAUGGAAUUUAGGUAGACUUAGUGGCGGACGGGUGAGUAACGCGUGGAUAACCUGCCUUAUACAGGGGGAUAACGGAGAGAAAUUUCCGCUAAGACCGCAUAAGACCACAGCACCGCAUGGUGCAGGGGUAAAAUAUUUAUAGGUAUAAGAUGGAUCCGCGUCCGAUUAGCUUGUUGGUGAGGUAGAGGCUCACCAAGGCGACGAUCGGUAGCCGGCCUGAGAGGGUGAACGGCCACAUUGGGACUGAGACACGGCCCAAACUCCUACGGGAGGCAGCAGUGGGGAAUAUUGGACAAUGGGAGGAACCCUGAUCCAGCGACGCCGCGUGAGUGAAGAAGUAUUUCGGUAUGUAAAGCUCUAUCAGCAGGGAAGAAAAUGACUUACCUGACUA